AUUGAACGCUGGCGGCAGGCUUAACACAUGCAAGUCGAGCGGAGAUGAGGUGCUUGCACCUUAUCUUAGCGGCGGACGGGUGAGUAAUGCUUAGGAAUCUGCCUAUUAGUGGGGGACAACAUUCCGAAAGGAAUGCUAAUACCGCAUACGUCCUACGGGAGAAAGCAGGGGAUCUUCGGACCUUGCGCUAAUAGAUGAGCCUAAGUCGGAUUAGCUAGUUGGUGGGGUAAAGGCCUACCAAGGCGACGAUCUGUAGCGGGGCUGAGAGGAUGAUCCGCCACACUGGGACUGAGACACGGCCCAGACUCCGACGGGAGGCAGCAGUGGGGAAUAUUGGACAAUGGGGGGAACCCUGAUCCAGCCAUGCCGCGUGUGUGAAGAAGGCCUUAUGGUUGUAAAGCACUUUAAGCGAGGAGGAGGCUACUGAGACUAAUACUCUUGGAUAGUGGACGUUACUCGCAGAAUAAGCACCGGCUAACUCUGUGCCAGCAGCCGCGGUAAGAC
rnacentral:rRNA from 1 species